UGUGUGUGUGUGUGUGUGUGUGUGUGUGUGUGUGUGUGUGUGAGUGUGUGCAUGCAUGUGUGUGUAGGGGGUUGUAUUGCAGGCAGGCACGCAUACACACACACGUACACACACACAAACUUAAUCAAACAACGUUUAGAGCAAUCCCUCAGACUGUAACGUUUAGACUGUAACUCAAUGCCGUGGGUUCCAGUCUGAAACCCCCAGAGAAAUCAAAUAUUAAUUUAGACGAGAGCCACUGCUCAAUAUCGACUCUCCAAUCGAUGUGUGCGUGUGUGCGUGCAAGGAGAGAAAAAGAGAUGCAGGACAAACAAGAGAUUGAGUGAAGAGAAAAAGAGUGAGAGAGGAAGAAAGACAGAGAAAAAGAUGAGUCCCUAGGAUUCCAGCCUCAAUCACAGAAGUUUGAUCAAAGUUCUCUGUUCCAGUAAACAUUUCUGAACAGCACGCCCGAUUCAAACACAACUCAACUGCAUGCACAGUAGGGGGGAAGACAAUCAGUGUAGCGCUCCCUUUUCAUCGAGAAAUUAUGAGAAUACAAGCUGUAGCGGCCUUCAUUCUCCUCCAGUCACAAAGCAACUGGUCUGUGAUUGCCCUGGACCCCUCGUUAGGCACCAAGAGCCUGUCCAAUCAACUCCAUCAUUCCACUACAGUGCAUGUGUGUGUGUGUGAUGUCUGAAGACAGACACAAAUUGGCAAUCAGGUAACGCUAUCAUGGAUUGGACUUUCCUCAGAGUGAUCCUGACUCCAAUACCCUGUUCCUUUCCUCUCCUCCAUCUCCUCGUCGCUCCGGAGCGGCUCCAGCUCGACCCUGACAGGUGCUCCUGACAAAACCUAUUACCAUCACAAUUACACAAGCUCUCUCUCUCUCUCUCUCUCAAUGUAUUGCUCACCCUCUCUGUCUCUCAAUCACUAAAGCUUCUCACUUGUCUUAACCCUCAACCCCUGUCUCUCCCUCUCUCUUUCUCACCCCUCCUCUUUUAUCACUAUCUCUAUCCACCUCUAUCAAUCUCUAUUGGUUCCCAUCUCCUAGGCCCAAUUAGAGCAUUAGAGUACAUGGCUCACUUUAAUCUGCAUUAGGGAAGAGAUGAGAGGGCAAUGAGGAGACGAGGAGAGAGGAGAAGGUGAUGAGGAGUGAAAUGGAGGGUUUCUUCUUUCUCCUUACCCCGCUAUAUUUCAGUUUAUUUGUCUCUCUUCCUCCCCACUUCCCUCCCCAUCUUGCAGGUGUGCGAUAGUGAGGUAUUGAUGAUAGAGAGAGAGAGAGAGAAGGGUCUGUGUAGAAGAUAUAUGGUGUUCUGAGAGCCUAUGUGGAGAGAUGGAGAGAUGGAGUAGAGGAGAGAUUGAGGAGAGAUUGAGGAGAGAUGGAGAGAUUGAGGAGAGAUGGAGAGAUUGAGGAGAGAUGGAGUAGAGAUUGAGUAGAGGAGAGAUGGAGUUGGGGAGAGAUGGAGGAGAGGAGAGAUGGAGGAGAG
rnacentral:lncRNA from 1 species